GGCAACAGUCCCCCUAAAGUGAGCGUCCUGCCCCCGUCCAGUGAAGAGAUUUCCACAAAGCAAACAGCAACACUGAUGUGUGUGGCCAACAAGGGUUUCCCCUCAGACUGGAGUCUGAACUGGAAGGUGGACGGGAUCAGCAGCAGGUCUCAGUACAGCAGUGUUGCUCUCCUGGAGAAGGACGGUCUGUACAGCUGGAGCAGCAGUCUGACUCUCUCUGAGCAGGAGUGGAGCUCAGUGAUCUCAGUCAGCUGUGAGCUCACACAGAAAGACCAGCGUGAUAAAGUCACUGGAGAAUUGAGGAGAGAUCAGUGUUCACAGUAGAUCCACUCACUCUCACAUCAAGACUAACAGACUAACUGUGUUUCUCUUCAUUUCUCUCUCACAUCAAACAACACAAG